UAGAUUAUGCCUAUUAAUUUAGCAGAAACUCCGCUACAUCAGGAGCGCGUCUCAUAAUAGGGGAUUUUCAUCUACCACCGUCAGAAUUUCGGCAGUUUUCAGCAUACAUGAUUCCUGAUUCAAUAUUUCUUUUAUUGUAUCAAAAAUUAAUUCUACGUUAAUGAAAAUUUUUAUUCGCUGGACUUAUUACCGAUAAGUUAAUCAAAAUUACACGGAAGUGCGUAGUGAGACUCGAGUAGUGAGCGAUUUGGCCAAUUACAGUCGAGAAUUGAAAACGUAAAGCUGUCGUUCCUCUGCGAUUGGUUGGUUUAUCAGGAAGUCACGAAACUAGGAGGAAGAGUGGGGGUUUCCCUUGCACAACUUACUUCCUGCGCCGCUUUCUCUCCGGCGCAUUGCCUUCUUCCCGCUCGUGAUCGGUUGACGCGCGUCGUCGUACCAGUUUGCCUUUUGCGAAAGGUACAAGCGAACAGUACGCAGGAAAGAUACAAGAUGAGAUUCGCGCGGGCGUUCUUUAAGGAAAUUGGCUCGAGUUCACUCGGAAAGAAUGGAACUUGGCAUUCAAUAAAAUGACGCAGAUUGGCCUGAGAUCGCAAAGAUGGAGGAUCCGCAAAGACUUUCGGAAUUCCUAGGGAGGAAAGUAUAUGGAAUGAAUUCACCGAUUGAUUGAUUUAAUCUGCAUCUCAUCUGACGUACGCGUUGCGAUAUUGAUUGCGAGGAUUCGCAGCGUGAGAAGAAUUUUCUCUCUGAAGUGAUAUGGAUGACGAUCUGCUCUAAAAUACUGGUGUCUCGUGUGUAGCUGGAUUCAAUGCGAGGAUAUCUUGGGCGCCUUCUGUAUAGUACAUUUUAUUGAUUCCCCUUAGGGUUACAAGGCGUUUUUGAAGGAACGUGCCCAAACCUCAUAU